AUUCAUGUAGUUUAAAUAAAACAUUUUAUUUUCAUUAAAAAAAAAAUAUACAAUAUUUAUGAAUA
rnacentral:tRNA from 1 species